AUUUAACGCUGGCGGCAGGCCUAACACAUGCAAGUCGGGCGAGCGGCGGACGGGUGAGUAAUGUAUGGGGAGCUGCCUGAUGGAGGGGGAUAACUACUGGAAACGGUAGCUAAUACCGCAUACCAUCAGAUGAACCCAUAUGGGAUUAGCUUGUAGGUGAGGUAACGGCUCACCUAGGCGACGAUCCCUAGCUGGUCUGAGAGGAUGAUAAUCCACACUGGGACUGAGACACGGACCAUACUCCUACGGGAGGCAGCAGUGGGGAAUCUGCUGCAAUGGGCGUAAGUCUGACCGAGCAACGCCGCGUGUGUGAAGAAGGUUUUCGGCUCGUAAAGCUCUGUUGUUAGCGAAGCGGUAUCCAAUCAGGAAGCCACUGCUAACUACGUGCCAGCAGCCGCGGUAAUAC
rnacentral:rRNA from 1 species